rnacentral:lncRNA from 1 species
GUUGCUCUUGGGUGGCCGCGGCGCCCGCUCCCUCUGAAUUCGCCGGGCAGGGAUACAGCCGCCCGGGGCCUCUUGCUCGUGCUUGGUUUUCCGGACCUUGCUUCCUAAAGGGUCUUUAGGGGUUCCCGGACUCCUCCGCCUGGGAGCCUCUAUCCGCCUGGGAGCCUCUAUGCGCCCCGCAAAGCCCCCGGCAGAGCCGAGGGGAGGCUUCAUUGGCGACCUGGUGGGGCCUCGCGGCCCUGCUCCCUGACGUCAGCGCCGCCGCGGUGAUUUAACAGCUUUUGUUUUGGGCAGAAGAACCUAUGGGCACAAAAAGCAGGAACGAGUAGCGGUGGCUGAAGAACGAGCAGGAGCUUGAAUUUCAGUUUUCUUAUGAGGAAUUUUCCAGAAAAGAUAUCUUCACUGUGAAAUAACUAAAUAAAUGCCCACUCAGUACAGUCACUGUCUCCCUUUUGGAACUUGAUGGCACCUUAAGCCCAGGUUUGCCUCCACUCUAGAAACUCAUCAGAGUGAUGCCCUUCUCAAAUGGGGGAGGUCCCAAAGCGGAUAUCCUGGCAGUGUGAAAGGCCGGCUAAAGGUUUGUGCCAAGAGGAUCUGUGGAAUGCAUCUCCUACAGCUGGUGCUGCUGAGUAACCACUCUGAUCUGGCAUCUUCUUUGAUCAAGUUACAGAGCAGAGUUUCCAGGGCUGGGGAUUGAAGUCCUGCCUCCUCCCUUUGUCUCUGGUUGUCCUCGGUAAUGUUUUUCCCUCAAGGUACUCAUGAUACUUCCCAUGGGGUGAGUCAGGGACAGGUCUCUUUCCAGGGAAUCCAGGAUGGUAGGGAGGUUGGUUGUCUACCUUGAUCUCACUUUUUCCAUUGUAGAAACUGUGAGUUGGGGAAAGUUUUCCACACACUUGGUGCUGGACAGAUUGUGGCAAGGGGCACCACAGAUAUAAAAAUCUGAUUCUUUUACCAUGCUCAGAGUUUUUUCACUUCUGUGUCCCCAGGAAUUGACUCAUCCUCAUAUCUGAGUUCUGGGAUAUUGUUGGUGAUAAUCUCAGUGCUGUAUAUUUGUUUUUGGUUUUCUGGUGUGGAAGUGAAGCCAGCUUGCGUCUACACUGCCAUUUUUGAACUAGAAGUCCACCUGAUGCCAUGUGGGUCUGCUCUAACAAAGAUGCCUGUAGCUGUCUCUGUAGGUACAAUUGGAGCUACUACCUCAUAAAGUUUGUGGUAGCCCACUAUCUGGUUUUUGGAGGGGCUAGACUGGUAAAUUAAAUGGAGAUACAAUUUGAACCAUCAUCCCCGAAUCUUUUAGGUCUUUUAGGAUGGCAUUAAUUUCUGCCAUUCCCUGAAAUAUUAUUUUUUGAUUUACUGUAUUGGUAUGGAGAAGAGGUCAAUUUUUAAAGCUUCCACCUGGCCACUUGGCCUUUAUCACUAUGUUAGCUCUUACCACACACACCGAGAAACCUGGUGCCACUAAUCAAGUGUAUUUAUCACAAUUAUACACUCAAGGACUAGGUGGGUCUGUGGAUAUAUUGUGAGCCAGACUUGGGCCAGGACACCCUAGGACUUGGCCUCCAUAACCCUUACUCUAAUCAAGGGCAUAUAGUGAGAGUUCUGUGAUAUCAUUGUUAACUCAGACCCUGUUUCCAACAGAUAUCAAAAUGUUGAGUAUUCCCCUUUCACCACUGUAUGAUUUCCUGAGUAAUGGUGAUAGGUCCCUUUGGAGAAGGACUAGAGGAAUCAUUAUUGUGCACACUUGUGGUAUUACACAAUCCUUCCUCCUGGGGACCCAGAUUCUUCUUUAGUUAAUGGGCCUGGAUCCAAAAACGGACUCAGGUCUGGAAAUCGGACAAGGGGUCAUGAUUAUUUUUUAUUUUUAUUUAUUUAUUUAUUUAUUUAUUUUUGAGACAGAGUCUCCCUCUUUAGCCCAGGCUGGAGUGCAGUGGCACAAUCUCUACUCAUGGCAACCUCCAUCUCCUGGGUUCAAGCAAUUCUUUUGCCUCAGCCUCCCGAGUAACUGGAUUACAGGCGCGCACCACCUUGCCCGGCUAAUGUUUGUAUUUUUAGUAGAGACAGGGUUUCACCAUGUUGGCCAGGCUGGUCUUGAACUACUGGCCUCAGGGAAUCCACCCUCCUCGGCCUUCCAAAGUACUAAAUUUAUAGUCAUGAGCCACUGCACCCCGCCAGUUUAACUUUUUUUUAAUUGGCUUAGUUGCCAAGAGAGGAAGUUGGGGAGGAUCCUGAGGAGUGUAUGUUUUGUCCUUGGAGAGAGAGCUCAUUGUCUUCAAGCAAAAGAGGGAGCACACUAGCCCUUAUUAGAGAAGAGAGGGGCACUUCUGUAGCCUUAGAAGGUUCUGGAAACCUGAGGAUUGAAGAUUUUUCAGGUGCAUCAACCCAGAUGGUUUCAUCCCAUGUGUCAGGGUUCCAUUUUUUCCCAAUCAGGGUCCUGACAACAGCACAGUAGACCUGCCUAGCUUGGGUCCUAACUUCUUUGGAGUUUUAUUCUCAUGACUAAGUCCUGGGCCUGGUCCUCAGCUUCCUCUCCUCAUUGGCUUGAGAACCUGAGAGUCUCAUAUUCUACGAGGGAGGCUUUCUGGCCCUCACACUGAGUUUUUGUUUGUUUUUGAGACAAGAUCUUGCUUUGUCACUAAGGCUGAGUGUGUAGUUGCACCCAGGCUGGGAGUGCAGUGGCACAGUAAGCUACUGUAACCUUGAACUCCUGGACCCAAAUUAUCCUCUGGCCUCAGCCUCUUGAGUAACAGAACAACAAAUGCAUGCCACUAUGCCCUGCUGAUUUUAAAUUUUUGUGGAGAUGGGCCUUGCUAUGUUGCCCAGGCUGGUCUUGAAUUCCUGGCCUCAAGCUAUCCUCCCUUUUCAGUCUUCUGAGGCACUGGAAUUACAGGCAUGAGCCACGGCUCUUGGUCCCACACUCAGCUUCUAAUUACCAACUAAUCACUCUCAUUCUUUUAUUUUGAGACAGGGUCUCAUUCUGUAGCUCAAGCUGGAGUACAGUAGUGCAAAUAUAGCUCACUGCAGCCUCAAACUCCUGGGGUCAGGUGAUCUUCUUGCCUCAGCUUCCCAAAUAGCUAGGACUACAGCCACAAGCUACUGGGCAUGGAUAAUUUUUUAAAUAUUUGUAGAGACAGGGUCUCGCUAUGUUGCCCAGGCUGGUCUCAAACUCCUGGCUCAGCCUCCCAAAGUGCUGGGAUUACAAGUGUGAGCCACUAUGCCUGGCCCAUUCUCAUUCUUCUGUUAUCUUUUUCCAAGGUAUCGGUCUAGCUCAGUAAUAACUCUUCAGUUCCACUGUCUACACUGUUUCCCACCUGAUCUUCGUGCCUGCCGGUGCAUUUCUUUGUGUUGACAUGCCAUCUCAGUUCACCACUAGUCAAAGUUUUAAUAACUGCACUGUCAGGGUGUGCUAGCAGUUAACUUCUCCCUGCCCCAGUGAGGAGACUCUCAUCCUAUAAGUGAGAAGGCAAGAGAAAUGGCUCCAAAAGCACACUGGAGCACCUACUUUCCUGCAACCCUUCUGAUACCAAGUAUCACAGAUGCUGAGAUGAAGAUUAGUGGGUAGGAGAUUUGGAUUGCCACCUGUGGAAAGAAAGGAAACUCCACUGGGUGGAGGAAGAAUAUGGACUAUGAUGCAAUCUCAAAGGUGGCCUUAGCUGACACUAAGGGGAACUCUGAAGCUAGGAUGGUCUUUCAGAUUGUUCUAAUAUGGGGCAAUGGGACUAGUCUUUGCAUGCAGCCUGGCCCAAGAAGGAAGUGUGACUUCAGAUGAGGUGGCUCUUUUCACUUAAGAGGGCAAUUCUACUGACAGCUGAGGGCCGUUGGGUGCACACUGCCAGAGCGAGAAAACAAAAUCCUCUGUAGGGAAGGGGACUGUGUGGCAUAUCACAGCACACCCCGAGAACAAGGGAGCGGCUCUUCAUCAAAUAACACAAUAUGGGCCCACAUAUUCCCAGAGGCUGCUAUAGUGCUGGGCACAUUAGUGCUCAAUAACUUAUUGAAUUAGUAUUAUCAUAUUGUGCUAUUGCCAUCCUCAUCUUUUAAAGUCACUUAUCACUUAAUGGAUGUUCUUGUUAGAACUGACACUAUGAAGAUGACUAUGACACAAUUACCUGUUGAGCCUAUUUGAGAAAUUAACCUAUAUUUAACAAGUUUGACUAAUUAGAUUGGUUAAGAGCCUUAGCAGAGGGCUAAACAAAAUGGUGUUAAAGAAUACACCUGAUGGUCCAAGAAAAUCCCUAACUCCCUAGAAGGUCUGGAUAGUCUGAGAAGUGACAUUCGAACAGUGUAAUGCACUUUCCUCCAGAGCCAGAAGCAGGGAAAGCAGAGGCAGCAGCAAUUUUAUCUUCUGGGCACCUUAUCCUCAGACCUCAUUUUAUCAAUACAUACGGACUGUCUACAACCACGUAAUAUCCUUUUCAUCAGCCUUAUGAAAUUUUCCCCCAAUUUAUCCAAGUCAGGAUUUCAGUAUGCAGAAGUCUAAUGUCAUCUUGGAGAGUUCAUUGUGCCUCCCCCAUAUCCAAGACCAUUUACUAAAACCUUAGUUCAGUCUUUAAAGAGUCACAAGAUCCUAUUAUGCCUAGUUUUUUUUCCAGUCUUUUAAGUCUAUUCCUUACCUUGCCAAAAAAGUACCUGUUUCUAUGGUUUAACAAAUGGAGCUUAGAAUAUGGAACUAUGACAAAAAUACCUGCUACAUGCUUCCUUCUGUAUGAAUACAUGAGACCUACCUUCAUUCAUGUUUCCUCUAUGAAGCUUUCCCUGCACUCCAAACACAGAGCUGAGACUUCCACCUAAUGUAGAAAGCUAGCACGAGCCGGCGCUGACAGAUGGAAGACUUGAGAUGUUACAAGAUUAUAUAUGGAAACACAAAAGGAGUGGAGUUGCUGGGUCAUAUGGCAAUUCAUUUGAGGAACUGAGAAGCUUAUUCCAUGGAGGCUGAACUGUUUUAUAUUCCCACCAGCAACGUUAGAGACGGGGUUUCACCGCGUUAGCCAGAAUGGUUUCUAUCUCCUGACCUCAUGAUCCGCCCACCUCGGCCUCCCAAAGUGCUGGGAUUACAGGCGUGAGCCACUGUGCCUGGCCAAACGCUGAUUAAAAAACUGAGGUCCAGAGAAAUUAAGUAAUUUGCUUAACUUCGCGAAUCAAGGACUGCAUCAAGGACGGAAGCUGAGGUUCCUGCUUUUGGCCUGGUGCUUUCUGUACUGGCCACACUACCUCCCAAAGGCAAAUAGUUUCUUAUUACUUGAAACUAUUAUCUAGCUAAGCUAAAAUCCCAUUUUAAGCCACUUUUGAAAAUAACAAAAACAUGCCAGAGAAGUUAACAGGAAUUCUCGCUAGUACUUUUUAAAGUGACAGCGUUUCUUAUAGUUUAUAUCCUUUAUAACAUAGAAGUUGCUAUAAUUAAGAAAGAUAAUUUUCAUUUUUAUCUCACUGCAAUUAUUUGCCAUGUAGUCUCUUAUUAAUCAUAUAAUUUUCAAGUGUAAUCUUCCUCUAGUCCUAUUUUCUAGAUAGAAUAGCUGUUAAAAUCCAAGAGAUUUACUAUAGCUUUUUCUCCAAAUUGAGGUUUUUUAAGUCAG